UGGGCCGUAGCCAAGCGGUAAGGCAACGGGUUUUGGUCCCGUCAUGCGUAGGUUCGAAUCCUACCGGCCCAG
rnacentral:tRNA from 1 species